CAGUAGCCGCGGUAAUACGUAGGUGGCAAGCGUUGUCCGGAAUUAUUGGGCGUAAAGGGCUCGCAGGCGGUUUCUUAAGUCUGAUGUGAAAGCCCCCGGCUCAACCGGGGAGGGUCAUUGGAAACUGGGAAACUUGAGUGCAGAAGAGGAGAGUGGAAUUCCACGUGUAGCGGUGAAAUGCGUAGAGGUGUGGAGGAACACCAGUGGCGAAGGCGACUCUCUGGUCUGUAACUGACGCUGAGGAGCGAAAGCGUGGGGAGCGAACAGGAUUAGAUACCCGGGUAGUCCCUGUCUCUUAUAC
rnacentral:rRNA from 1 species